GGGGGGGGGGGUUGAUGUGACUUUCUGCAUAAUUUAUUGUUUCAUUUAUUCUUAAUUAGCAAAGUGUUUUUCAGAUGUCUUUAUUGUAGUUGAAGUAAGGUUGAUUUAAUGAUGUUUUGUCUGACUUGUAGUUUUUAAGGUUGUAUUAAUCUGAAUUAUUAUUAUUAUUUUUUUUUUUAUCUUCUUUUUUGUUAUGUGAUUGUUAUUGUUAUUAUUGUUAUUUUCCUCUUUUCUUUCUCCUCUUCUAUGUUAUUUUUGCUAGAUUAUUAUUGUUUUUAUUAUUUUUUUUUUACUUUUUCUUUCUUUUUUCUUUCUUUUUCUGUGUUAUUUUGUUGCUUAUUGCGUCGUUUCUGGAUUUUGUUUUGUUCGUUGCGCUUAUGCAUCUUCGCGUCACUCGUGUUGUGUCGUGUUUCAUAUAUUUUUAAACUUGUACAUCAUUUAAUUUUUUUUUUCGAUAUUGAAUUGAAUUUUCCUCCUCUUUUUUUUUGCAAGUAAUUUUUUUUCUAUAUUUUUUUUGAUCAGUUUUUAUUUAUUUGUUUAUUUUUUGAUAGGAUAAUUUCAUACAUACAUACAUACAUACAUACAUACAUACAUACAUACAUUGUUUACUUUUUCAUAUGUUUAAACUUUCACUAUCACACACACACACACACACACACACACACACACACACACACACACACACAUAUUUACAAGUGUGUGUGUGUAUGUGUGUUAGUAUAGCAUAAGUUACCAUAUCUUUAUUUAUUGUGUAUUUCAUGUUUUGAUGUAUUUUGUGUGUAUUGGCAGAGAGAGAGAGAGAGAGAGAGAGAGAGAGAACCACCUUUCCAAGCAUUAAUUAAAAAAAAAAAAAGGAUUUAUAUCUUAAAAAUAAAUAAAUAAAUAACUUGAGCUAUGCAGUUGAUGAGCAAGGCCACUGUUGUGAUGCGUCUGUCUGUUUGUACGUAAGAAAAUUAGAGGGAAAGCUUAACAGUCGUCUACCUAUUGGCUAUAUAUUGCAAGGAGAUGUGUGAUGUACUUGUAAUAUCAUCAGCUGUAAGGAUUUUGAGCUGUUUAACAGUGUGUGUAUCAAAAGAAUUACAUUUUUUUUUCUAAAGGGCUGUUUUCUGCAGUGUUUUUCAAGACGAACAUUUGCGUAAACAGUUGUCUUUAAAAUUCGAGUGACAAAACUUGUGUUAUCAUCAAGUGUAGCGCUGCGGAACUGUUUGCCAGUGUUUGUACUAGAAGAAUCAAGUGUUUUUCAAGAUUACGAUUUGCGUCAACAAUUAUCAAUAAGAAGUGAGUGGUGUAACUUACAGUAUUAUCAAAUGAGGUACCGAAGUGUUAGGCAUUUUAUAUACAGAGGUUUUUCAAGGUCAAGAUUUGCGUCAACAAUUAUCAAUAAAAAAAUAGAGGUAACAAUAUUAUCAAAUGAGAUACGGAAGUGUUAGGUUUUUUAUAUACAAAGUCAGGUUUUUCAAGAUCAACCUUUGCAUCAACAAUUAUCAAUAAAAAAAUAGAGGUAACAAUAUUAUCAAAUGAGAUACGGAAGUGUUAGGCAUUUUAUGUAGUCAGGUUUUUCAAGAUUUGCGUCAACAAUUACCAAUAAAGUGUUAGGCUUUUAUUUUUAUUCUUAUUUAUUUAUCUAUUUAUUUUUAAAGAUAGAUCACUAGUUGUGGAUGUAACGGGAAUGACACUUGAGAGAGAAGAGUGAGCUAGCAUUAAGAUCAUCCAGUGUUGUGAUGCCGAGUUGUGUAGCACUGUGUUGACCCAAGUCUUUGAGGAAAUAGAUGAAAAAAGGAACAAGUUGCAUAAACAAAAAAAAAAAUAAAUAAAUAAAUAAAAAAAUUGACAUACGUAAUGAAGUAAAUAAACAAAGAGGAAAGAUAUGAUUUAAAAAAAAAAAUAGAGAGAAAAUGAAAUAAAAUAGAAUGAAUAGAUAGAUAAAAGCUGCGUUGAAAGAAAAAGCAUAACAAAUAAAGGAGAAACUGAAAAAGGAAAAUAAUAAGUGAAAGAAUAUGUGUAUGCAGACUUAACAAUUAUGAAGGAAUAAAUAAAAGAGGAAUAAUGCAGAAUGAAAUAUGAGAAGUUAUUAAUUGUGAAAGAGAGGAAGGAAGGAAGGAAGAGAGAGAGAGAAAAAAAAUAAGAAGAUAAUCAAGAAAAAUCUAUCAGUUAAUAUGUUGUGAUGUAAUAAAGAUAAAUAAGUUAUAGAAAAAUAUAGCAAAAAUAAAUUAAUAGGUAGUGAAUAACACGUGGUAAAAUUUAAAAAAAGACAAUAAAAAUAAAUAAAAUAAAAUAGAUACAGAAAAAAAAUAAUAAAAAAUAAAUAAAUAAAUAACAAAAUAAAAUAAGACAUAGAAAAAAUUACAAUAAAAACAAAUAAAUAAAUAAAUAAAUAAAACAAAACAAAACUGCAGUGAAAGAAAGAAAAAAAAAACAUACAAACAAAUAAUAUCUAUACACACAAACACACACACAAAACCUAACCUAACCUAACCUAACCUAACCUAACCUAACCUAACGUAACCUAACAACCUUACACAAUAUCGCCUCAGCACAAACAAACAUGUAAACACACAAACACACACACAAAACCUAACCUAACAACCUUACACGACAUUGCCUCAACAUAAACAAACAUCACGUAAACACACAAACACACACACAAGAGCUAACCUAACCUAACAACUUUACGUAUUACCGCCUCAGCAAACGUCUUGGCUAGUUACGACAGGCACAGUGGAGUCUUGCAGAGUUGACAUGAGCUUUUGAGUAUCGUGUUUGAAAUGGGCUUUACGUUUUAGUGAAGACUGUACGUUUGGAAGCUACAGAGAGAGAGAAAGAGAGUGAGAGAGAGAGAUACGAGGCAGUGUUUUGUAAGGUUAUGUUCGAAAUUAUUAAAGAUUUUGGUGUGUUUUGAUAAGGAUUGUAUGUUUAAAAGCUUCAGAGAGAGAGAGAGAGACGAGACAGUGUUUUGUAAGGUUACAUUCAAAAUUAUUAAAGAUUUUGGUGUGUUCUGAUAAGGAUUGUAUGUUUAAAAGCUUCAGAGAGAGAGAGAGAGAGAGAUGAAGCAAUGUUUUAGAAAGGUUAUGUUUAAGAUUAUUAAAGAUUUUGGUGUGUUUUGAUAAAGAUUGUUUGUUUAAAAGCUUCAGAGAGAGAGAGAGAGAUAUGAGGCAGUGUUUUGGAAAGGUUAUGUUUAAGAGACUAAGAAAAAGCACUUUAAUGAAUGUUUGGAAGAGAUUGUGAGAGAGAAACUGUAACACGUCUGAAGGAAUAUUACUGUUGAUGGAAUAAAGGAAAAAAAUAUAUGUUUGGAAGAAUAAGUUAAAAAAUAUACUCCAUUUUAUUGAUCAUUUGUGCAUUUGGAAGGCUUAAAAUAGGUACAGGUGUGUUUAGAGAGAUAGGGUUUGCAAGGGUGUUUUUAAGGUUCUAGUGACAGAUUAAUAUUUCUACAUUACUAACUGGAGAAACACUCUUGAAAAUUCAGCUGUGGCCUUGAGAAAACAGUGUUGACAGAGAGACAGUGGGUUUGCAACGGUGUUUUUAAGGUUCUAGUGACAGAUUAACAACAUUUCUACAUUACAAACUUGAGAAACACCCUUGAAAUCCUGGCUGGUCAUCUCUGUGGCCUUGAGAAAACAGUGUUGACAGAGAGAGAGAGAGAGAGAGAGAGAGAGAGAGAGAGAGAGAGAGAGAGAGAGAGAGAGAGAGAGAGAAUAGUGUUUGAGAAUACACGGAUGAAGGGAAGGUUACAUUUGAAAGAAUAAAGGAAAGGAUAGCAUUUUGAAGUAUAAGGGAGAGAAUAUUCUACUUGUCCUUCAGAAUACAUUGUUAGACUCCACUUGUUAUUGUUCGUGUCAGCAUCACCAGCAUCACCACCUCCGCCCGGCCGUGUCCACUACAUUAGUGAGAGGGUUGCCUGACACUUGCUGUACCCUAGGCUGCCUGUGAUGUGUUGUGGCAUGUUUUAGUGCCCACACACACACACACACACACACACACACACACACACACACACAUUGAUAGAUAGAUAGAUAGAUAGAUAGACAGAUUGAUAGGUAGACAAACAGACAGCUUCAUGGACACACACACACACACACACACACACACACACACACACACACACACACACACACACACACACACACAGAUAGAUAGACAGAUUAAUAGGUAGACAAACAGACAGCUUCAUGGACAAACACACACACACACACACACACACACACACACACACACACACACACACACACACAUAGAUAGAUAGACAGAUUGAUAGGUAGACAAACAGACAGCUUCAUGGACACACACACACACACACACACACACACACACACACACACACACACAGGUACAUGUAGGUGUUAUUUACCCCAAUGUUGCUCCAUACAAACAUUCUAUUUUCCUCAGAACAAGUUACCGAAUUUCAUAUCUCUCGCGUACCGGCUUUCGUUGAUUUCUCUGCCUUACCGAGGGAGUGUUUAGGUGUUAGACUGUUGAUAGGUACAAUGGACACUCUAUUUUCAGCAUGCUUAGUUAUACAGCGCUAUAUUGCCCUUUUAAACAGCUUUCGUUCAUUUGCUGUGAUGGACGCAGAGAGACUGAGUGAAAAUAUCCUUGUAUUGUCUGUUAAACUCUUACUGAUCUUCACUACAAGUCAGGCUGUGUAAUGACAAAUAUAUGGGUUUAUUUCAUUACAUUAGUCAUAUUUUCCUCAAGAGCUUUUGUUGAGUUGUGACAGGCAGAGAGAGGGUGAGUGUAAAUAACCUUGUGUUCACUAUGUUAUGUUAAGCUCAUCAUUCUUCACUACAUGUCAGACUCUGUAGUGACAAAUACUUGGCUUUAUUUCAUUAAGUUUGCAUUAUUUUCAUUGAUGUUCACGAAAGAACAAACAGCCACACGUGUUUAAGAGUCAAAGGGUUAAAUUGUUUCGUAUUAUUGAGUCAGCAGAUUUUUAUUUCUUUUCUUUAUUUAUUUACUUAUUUUUAUGUCUUUUCCUUCAUGCUGUAAUGGAAAAACAAGCUCGUUUCCCCCUACCUAGUAUUUCUUAUCUAUUAUUUACAAAAGAACACAGCCGCACGUAUUUAGGAGUCAAUUAAAAAAGUUUAUUAUAUCACUAAAUCAUAAAUAAGUGUGUAAUCAGGAGCUGUAAUCUUUGUUUAUGUCUGGCAGUCAGUCGUAACCCUUCUGCUUUUUUUUCUUCUUCUUUUCUUUCUUUUUUUUCUAUUAUUAUUUUACUUGAUGUCAUAGUGAACAAACAAGCUAAUGUACACUACCCUAUAUCUUUGGGAGUUAAGAGAAAUGUGAAUGCUCUACAUUGAAUCAGGAAAAGAAUAUUUGAGGUUAGAAGUUAAAAAUUAAUCGAGUCAGGAGAAAGGAAUUUUUUAGUUUACGAGGCAAAAAUUAAGUUUGUUAGGCCAAGAAAAGUAAUGUUUGAGUUUAUGAGGCAAGAAUUAAGUUUGUUAGGCCAAGAAAAGCAAUAUUUGAGUUUAUGAGGCAAGAAUUAAGUUUGUUAGGCCAAGAAAAGCAAUAUUUGAGUUUAUGAGGCAAGAAUUAAGUUUACUGAGCCAGGAAAAAGAAUAUGUCAGGUUGGGAGUUAAAAAUUAAGUUUAGUAACGAACCAGGAAAAAAUGUUUGAGUUUACGAGGCAAGAAUUAAGUUUGUUAGGCCAAGAAAAGCAAUAUUUGAGUUUAUAAGGCAAGAAUUAAGUUUACCGAGCCAGGAAAAAGAAUAUGUCAGGUUGGGAGUUAAAAAUUAAGUUUAGUAACGAACCAGGAAAAAAUGUUUGAGUUUACGAGGCAAGAAUUAAGUUUGUUAGGCGAAGAAAAGCAAUAUUUGAGUUUAUGAGGCAAGAAUUAAGUUUACCGAGCCGGGAAAAAGAAUAUGUCGGGUUAUGAGUUAAAAAUUAAGUUUAUUAACGAACCAGGAGAAAAUGUUUGAGUUUAUGAGGCAAGAAUUAAGUUUGUUAGGCCAAGAAAAACAAUAUUUGAGUUUAUGAAAGAAGAAUUAAGUUUACCGAGCCGGGAAAAAGAAUAUGUCGGGUUAGGAGUUAAAAAUUAAGUUUAUUAAUGAACCAGGAGAAAAUGUUUGAGUUUACGAGGCAAGAAUUAAGUUUGUUAGGCCAAGAAAAGCAAUAUUUGAGUUUAUGAGGCAAGAAUUAAGUGUAUCAAGCCAGGAAAAGCAACAUUUGAAUUUACGAGACAAGAAUUAAAUUUAUUGAGCCAGGAAGAGGAAUAUUUGAGUUUAUGAGGCAAGAAUUAAGUUUACUGAGCCAGGAAAAAGAAUAUGUGAGGUUAGGAGUUAAAAAUUAAGUUUAUUAAUGAACCAGGAGAAAAUGUUUGAGUUUAUGAGGCAAGAAUUAAGUUUGUUAGGCCAAGAAAAGCAAUAUUUGAGUUUAUGAGGCAAGAAUUAAGUGUAUCAAGCCAGGAAAAGCAAUAUUUGAGUUUAUGAGGCAAGAAUUAAGUGUAUCAAGCCAGGAAAAGCAAUAUUUAAGUUUAUGAGGGAAGAAUUAAGUUUGUUAGGCCAAGAAAAGCAAUAUUUGAGUUUAUGAAAGAAGAAUUAAGUUUACCGUGCCAGGAAAAAGAAUAUGUCGGGUUAUGAGUUAAAAAUUAAGUUUAUUAACGAACCAGGAAAAAAUGUUUGAGUGUACGAGGCAAGAAUUAAGUUUGUUAGGCCAAGAAAAGCAAUAUUUGAGUUUAUGAGGCAAGAAUUAAGUUUACUGAGCCGGGAAAAAGAAUAUUUCAGGUUAGGAGUAAAAAAUUAAGUUUAUUAACAAACCAGGAAAAAAUGUUUGAGUUUACGAGGCAAGAAUUAAGUUUGUUAGGCCAAGAAAAACAAUAUUUGAGUUUAUGAGGCAAGAAUUAAGUUUGUUAGGCCAAGAAAAGCAAUGUUUGAGUUUACGAGGCAAGAAUUAAGUUUACUGAGCCAGGAAAAAGAAUAUGUCAGGUUAUGAGUUAAAAAUUAAGUUUAUUAAUGAACCAGGAGAAAAUGUUUGAAUUUACGAGGCAAAAAUUAAGUUUGUUAGGCCAAGAAAAGCAAUAUUUGAGUUUAUGAGGCAAGAAUUAAGUGUAUCAAGCCAGGAAAAGCAACAUUUGAAUUUACGAGACAAGAAUUAAAUUUAUUGAGCCAGGAAGAGGAAUAUUUGAGUUUAUGAGGCAAGAAUUAAGUUUAUCAAGCCAGGAAAAGCAAUAUUUGAGUUUACGAGACAAGAAUUAAAUUUAUUGAGCCAGGAAAAGGAAUAUUUGAGUUUAUGAGGCAAGAAUUAAGUGUAUCAAGCCAGGAAAAGCAACAUUUGAGUUUACAAGACAAGAAUUAAAUUUAUUGAGCCAGGAAGAGGAAUAUUUGAGUUUAAGAGACAAGAAUUAAGUGUAUCAAGCCAGGAAAAACAAUAUUUAAGUUUAUGAGGCAAGAAUUAAGUGUAUCAAGCCAGGAAAAGCAACAUUUGAGUUUACAAGACAAGAAUUAAAUUUAUUGAGCCAGGAAAAGCAAUAUUUGAGUUUAAGAGAUAAGAAUUAAAUUUAUUGAGCCAGGAAGAGGAAUAUUUGAGUUUAUGAGGCAAGAAUUAAAUUUAUCAAGCCAGGAAGAGGAAUAUUUGAGUUUAUGAGGCAAGAAUUAAGUUUUUAUGAAGCCAGGAAAAACAAUGUUUGAGUUUAUAAGGCAAGAAUUAGGUGUAUUUGAGUUUAAGAGACAAGAAUUAAGUGUAUCAAGCCAGGAAAAACAAUAUUUAAGUUUACAAGACAAGAAUUAAAUUUAUUGAGCCAGGAAGAGGAAUAUUUGAGUUUAUGAGGCAAGAAUUAAGUGUAUCAAGCCAGGAAAAACAAUAUUUAAGCUUACGAGGCAAGAAUUAAGUUUAACAAGCCCAAAAAUAAAAAAAUAAAUGGUGUUUACAAGGCAAGAAUCAAGUUUAUCACAUUACGGAGUCCGAGAAAGAAGAAACCAGCUUAAGAGUAAAGAUUUAAAGUUUUAUCAGUGCAUUGGGAAAAAGAAUAAGCUUACAAUAUUUGAGUUUAUGAGGCAAGAAUUAAGUGUAUCAAGCCAGGAAAAGCAACAUUUGAGUUUACAAGACAAGAAUUAAAUUUAUUGAGCCAGGAAGAGGAAUAUUUGAGUUUAUGAGGCAAGAAUUAAGUGUAUCAAGCCAAGAAAAGCAAUAUUUGAGUUUAUGAGACAAGAAUUAAAUUUAUUGAGCCAGGAAGAGGAAUAUUUGAGUUUAUGAGGCAAGAAUUAAGUGUAUCAAGCCAAGAAAAGCAAUAUUUGAGUUUAUGAGGCAAGAAUUAAAUUUAUUGAGCCAGGAAGAGGAAUAUUUGAGUUUAUGAGGCAAGAAUUAAGUGUAUCAAGCCAGGAAAAGCAAUAUUUGAGUUUAAGAGGCAAGAAUUAAAUUUAUUGAGCCAGGAAGAGGAAUAUUUGAGUUUAUGAAGCAAGAAUUAAGUGUAUCAAGCAAGGAAAAGCAAUAUUUGAGUUUAAGAGGCAAGAAUUAAAUUUAUUGAGCCAGGAAGAGGAAUAUUUGAGUUUAUGAAGCAAGAAUUAAGUGUAUCAAGCCAGGAAAAGCAAUAUUUGAGUUUAUGAGGCAAGAAUUAAAUUUAUUGAGCCAGGAAGAGGAAUAUUUGAGUUUAUGAGGCAAGAAUUAAGUUUAUCAAGCCAGGAAAAGCAAUAUUUGAGUUUACGAGACAAGAAUUAAAUUUAUUGAGCCAGGAAGAGGAAUAUUUGAGUUUAUGAGGCAAGAAUUAAGUGUAUCAAGCCAAGAAAAGCAACAUUUGAAUCUACAAGACAAGAAUUAAAUUUAUUGAGCCAGGAAGAGGAAUAUUUGAGUUUAUGAGGCAAGAAUUAAGUGUAUCAAGCCAGGAAAAACAAUAUCUGAGUUUAUGAGACAAGAAUUAAAUUUAUUGAGCCAGGAAGAGGAAUAUUUGAGUUUAAGAGGCAAGAAUUAAGUUUAUCAAGCCAGGAAAAGCAAUAUUUGAGUUUACGAGACAAGAAUUAAAUUUAUUGAGCCAGGAAGAGGAAUAUUUGAGUUUAUGAGGCAAGAAUUAAGUGUAUCAAGCCAGGAAAAACAAUAUUUAAGUUUACGAGGCAAGAAUUAAGUUUAACAAGCCCAAAAAUAAAAAAAUAAAUGGUGUUUACAAGGCAAGAAUCAAGUUUAUCACAUUACGGAGUCCGAGAAAGAAGAAACCAGCUUAAGAGUAAAGAUUUAAAGUUUUAUCAGUGCAUCGGGAAAAAGAAUAACCUUACAAUAUUACCCGGAGCAGUACAGCAUUCUUUCAGACGGCUUAGAGCUUCUGCACAAAUAAAAAUGCUGACCAAUCGGCUUGCAGUAUUUGCCCCGCUGCGGUGAUGAUGAUGUGCUGGGGGCUUUUUUUUUUUUUUGUGUGUGUAUUUUCGUGUAUUUUAUUCGUCCGAGUCGUUUGUGUAUGCUGCGAUUGUUAUAUAUCUUCUGUGUUAUUUUUUUUAUUUAUUUGCUUAUUUAUUUUCUCUUCAUUCUUUACAUUUUUUUUUUUUUUUGUAAGAUAAUUUGUAUGCUUAUCUUUCAUUUGUAUUGAUUUUUUUUAAUUCUUUCAAGUAAUUCUUUCUUUCUUUAUUCAUUUAUUAUUUAUUAUUAUUUUUUUUUAGCUUGUAUCUUUUUCACCUCCUCCUUCUCCUCUUCUCUUUUUAUUUCCUUUAUUUCUCCUAGUUAUUAAUCUCUUCUUUUUUAUUUUAUCUUUCAAAUUAAUUCUCCUAUAUGUUUGCUCCUGUCUUUAAUUUUCAUCUCAUCUUUUUUUUACCUCCAAAUUAAUUCCUUGUAUAUAUUAUUUCCUAUACAACUUCACUUUCUCCCUUCAAUUCCAUCCUCAGCACUUUAUUUUAUCAGUUUAUCUUCUUUUACAGUUCAUUUAUUAUCUUAAGCAGUUGUCUGUGUAUCCAGUCUUCUCAUCCUCUCACUCAGUUUUGCUAUUCUUUCAAUUAAUUCACUGGGCUAAUCUCUCCUGCACCGCCUCUGUCGUUCGUGUUCAACCUCGCGUUCCGUUUUCUUUCUUUAUUUUUCUCUCGUGUCGUUUCGUUUCCGCGCUAUUCGGAAAAACGUAUGCAAAGAAAAUAUGUAUAAAUAAAAUUGAUGAAAAUA